rnacentral:rRNA from 1 species
CCUACGGGAGGCAGCAGUGAGGAAUAUUGGUCAAUGGACGAGAGUCUGAACCAGCCAAGUAGCGUGAAGGAUGACUGCCCUAUGGGCUGUAAACUUCUUUUAUAAAGGAAUAAAACGACGCACGUGUGCCUUUGUGCACGUACUUUAUGAAUAAGGAACGGCUAACUCCGUGCCAUCAGCCGCGGUAAUACGGAGGAUCCGAGCGUUAUCCGGAUUUAUUGGGUUUAAAGGGAGCGUAGAUGGGUUGUUAAGUCAGUUGUGAAAGUUUGCGGCUCAACCGUAAAAUUGCAAUUGAUACUGGCAGUCUUGAGUACAGUUGAGGUGGGCGGAAUUCGUGGUGUAGCGGUGAAAUGCUUAGAUAUCACGAAGAACCCCGAUUGCGAAGGCAGCUUACUAAUCUGUGACUAACAUUGAUGCUCGAAAGUGUGGGUAUCAAACAGGAUUAGAUACCCUUGUAGUC